GUCCCUGUAGCGUAAUGAAUGGCCCGUUGGACUUCUCUUCCAAAGGUCGUGGGUUCGAAUACCACCUGGGAUG